GACAGAGGGUGCGAACGUUGUUCGGAAUUACUGGGCGUAAAGCGCGUGUAGGCGGCAGCGUAAGUCGGGCGUGAAAUCCCCGGGCUUAACCUGGGAACUGCGUUUGAAACUGAGGGGCUAGAGUGUGGAAGAGGGGGGUGGAAUUCCAGGUGUAGCAGUGAAAUGCGUAGAGAUCUGGAGGAACACCGAUGGCGAAGGCAGCCCCCUGGGCUAACACUGACGCUCAUGCACGAAAGCGUGGGGAGCAAACAGG
rnacentral:rRNA from 1 species